GGCCCAGGAAGCCGAGGGAACGCUGUGGCUGAAAGGGACCUGGGUCCGCUCAGUCAGCCCGAGGUGGCUGUUGAUUGAGGGAGGUCGCGCCCUCCCAGUUACCUUCCCUGGUGGUUGUGCCGCUCGGUGUGACGCGGUCAAGGGGACGGCUACGCGAGAAUGGGGGAGUGGGGCGCCCGAGGCUGCUCCUGGGCCCUGGGAAGCCCCCGAUUAAUGAAUGGUCGGGUCAGCGACGCGAGGGUCGGGGUUUCUCUGAGGACCGCGCGCUGCACCUGCGGAGCCGGGUGAAUGGAUGUCGCGAAGGCAAGGGCUGCCCUUACCCCUCGGGGCCGACCUCGGAGCCCUCGCCCGUGGUUGCAACGCUUUCCCGGGAAACCGGAGAAGCCAGGCCGGGGGCUCGGCCUUUCUGAGGCGGCCCUUCCGGCGGAGGACACCGGCGGAAUUUGAGUGCACAGAGUGCGCGAGAGGAGCUCCCUGUAGACACACAGUCCAAGCCACGUAGGUAAUUCUAAUAGCAGCCACAUUUUUAAAGAGUAAAGAGAAAUCGGUGAAACUGC
rnacentral:lncRNA from 10 species